rnacentral:lncRNA from 1 species
GUUAGGGUUAGGAGUACAUUUAGCUUUAGGUUAUCAAUUCAUGUACGUGCGUUUGGAGUGUGGGAAUGAUUGUUAGGUUUAGGGUUCUUCUUUUCGUUAUGGUCAUGUAUGCUGCGGAAGUAGCGGUACUAGAAAAUGAUCUAGGGUUCAGCCAGGGUUCGGGUAGGGUUUGGGUUAGUUUCAGGGUGAUAGAUAUGAUUGAAAUUGAAUUGCCUGUGUCUUCCAAAGCGGGUUGGAAAGUUAGUAUUAGUAAAAUUUCAUGGAGAGGCUGAGGGAAAAUAUAGAAUUUCAAGUACAUGGUUAUUGGGAUUUGGUCCU